rnacentral:rRNA from 1 species
GCUGUCGCUCGCCUCGCAAGUCGAGCGGACAGAUGGGAGCUUGCUCCCUGAUGUUAGCGGCGGACGGGUGAGUAACACGUGGGUAACCUGCCUGUAAGACUGGGAUAACUCCGGGAAACCGGGGCUAAUACCGGAUGCUUGUUUGAACCGCAUGGUUCAAACAUAAAAGGUGGCUUCGGCUACCACUUACAGAUGGACCCGCGGCGCAUUAGCUAGUUGGUGAGGUAAUGGCUCACCAAGGCGACGAUGCGUAGCCGACCUGAGAGGGUGAUCGGCCACACUGGGACUGAGACACGGCCCAGACUCCUACGGGAGGCAGCAGUAGGGAAUCUUCCGCAAUGGACGAAAGUCUGACGGAGCAACGCCGCGUGAGUGAUGAAGGUUUUCGGAUCGUAAAGCUCUGUUGUUAGGGAAGAACAAGUACCGUUCGAAUAGGGGGGUACCUUGACGGUACCUAACCAAAAAGCCACGGCUAACUACGUGCCAGCAGCCGCGGUAAUACGUAUGUGGCAAGCGUUGUCCGGAAUUAUUGGGCGUAAA